AAGAUAAUCCCUCCGUCCGAAAAUACUUGUCAUCAAAAUGAAUAAAAAAGAAUGUAUCUAGAAUUAAUAUACAUCUAGAUACAUCCCCUUCUAGUCAUUUUGAUGACAAGUAUUUUCAGACGGAGGGAGUAUUAC
rfam:Triticum urartu cultivar G1812 contig174932, whole genome shotgun sequence.